GUUGACCUGUAUAUGCAGAGGAUUUCCUCAGUUCAAGAACACGAGUUCUUCGUCUCCUAUCUCCACUCCCUAAAGAGAUCAUUGCUCAGUCACUUUAUGUUUACCCGCCUGGAGAAAUACCAUUUGGCUCUCAGUUUUCUUGAAUUUUGCCAGGGAGCCACUGUGGAAUCAGCAUCCCUGAGGCAGGGCCAAGGGUGCAGGUUUAAAACGAGCCUCCCAGGUCUUACUCAAGGACGACGUUCAAGGACGACGUGUCUAGGCAUCUCUCAGUUCCUUUCCAGAAGAGGGCGGUUCCCAGGCUAGCCCCGCCCUCCCCCAGUCCCAUCUUUGGCUGGCCCCUUCACGGAGUCCUCCCUGCCGCCUACCGAGCUCGAAAUUUCUGGAAGUGUCCUUGACUUCCCAUAAUUCCGUGGGCCUCUUCGUACACCAGCUCCUUGCUCUGUAAGAGGAUUGUGUUAGCGCCCCAUCCUAUGCGGCCAAGGGGGGAGGGUAAUUCGAGUUUUCUUCUGGAGCCUAUUAGUACCGGUCUGGCAAUGCCAGAGGAGAAGGAGAAAUGGAAUGUAGUGGACUUCCCCAGACGACCAGAUUACAGGUUUUGGGCUUUCCCCCUCGGAGUUUUCCUCCAGUUACUGCCUGGCCUCCCGGCAAGCCACAAAGUCAUUGAAGAGCAUUCCUGAACCGAGGGAGGCAUGGCCCCGAUUCUGGGUGUAGCGAGGGGCAGGAAGGAGGGUGCAGCGGCAGCCUUUCCUUCUCAGCCCCAGCUGGAGUUGAGCCCCAUACACACCUGCUUCCCUCUGGGUCCCCAUGGUUCCCAGUUAGGCAUAUGGGCUCACCUGGACUCCUCACACCUCAAGCCCUGCCCCUUCCAGUGGGAUGACUCCCCUUGGCUACAGGAUGCACAGUUCCCACAACGGGUCUAUUGUGGCUGGCCUUUUCAUUCCAGAUGUCUUUGAUCUGGCCUCUAGGAGGUGGAAGCCUGCUGGAGGGCCCCACCUGGCCUUUGGGAGAAUUUCUCUGCAGAGCCUUCUUUCUGCUCCUCAGGCUGCCCCUCCUGGAGGGUUCCCCACCCACUUCUAGUCCCAGUCCCUGGGCUGCUCCCUUGUCUCCCACAUCCUCACUGGCACCACUUCCAUUCCCACACAAGGUAACUGGUAACUCAACUGAAGAAGAUGACCCUAUCUUCUGCAUCAUAACGUGAAUAUAUACUUGAUAAAAGCCUCAAAUAACUUUUUGGCUGCCAUAUUUUGCUACCUCAAAGGAGAAAACAGAAAAAGGAGUACUGAUGAUGGAAGCAUCUGGUCCCUCUUGCAGAACGAUGAAUGAUUUUAUUGGCGGCAGCUGGGUGGCAGGGCAAUACAGGCAUCCAGUUGUGCCUGAACCCCAACAAGUGAAAUCUUUGUUCAUUUCCUUUUUAUACACCCAUCUGCCGCCUAAAACCUGACACCAUUUAAUGGUGCCCUUGGUCAAAUCUAAAUGCUUUUACUUUCAUAAUCCUCUGAUUCUAUCUUGAAGAGUCAAGAUGAACUCUAACUCAUGGGAUGGACAAAAUGGAAGAUGUAAAUAAGUAAGCUUUUCAGAGCUAAAAAGCCUCUUUUUAUACAAAAUUAAACUUUAAAAGUACAUUGACCUCGAAACAAUAUAAUUGUCUUGGAUAUGCAAGAAAAAUAGCAGUAUAAAUAUUUAGCAUCAUACCCACAAUGAACAUCUGUGGCUACCCAACCUGUUCAUAUGCCUCAUUAAUUAUAGGCCUUACUCUGAAUGUUUCUUGUUCUAUCUUUGUAUUCCCACCAGCCAAGGAGUUCUUUUAUAAAUUAUAACAUUCCCCAUAUGUGCAAUGCUAAUAUAACUUGUGGAGGGAGAGAGAAAGCCUUUCUCUCCUAUUCCUGAAAAAUCACUGACCUAUUCCUUGAGUCUAUGAGUAACAACUCCCUACUCAGUCCCUAAAACUAAAAAGCUUGAUCACCUUCAAAGUAGAUUAAAAAAAUGUGUUCAAGUGGUAGCUGACAAGAAUUCACUGUAACCAGAACUGUGUGGUGGAUAAUGCAUAAUAUGAAAUAAACCUUUAUACAAAAAUAGUUUCUUAUAAUGUUACCUAUCAUGAGAGUUUUCAGUAAAAUUGUAAAUUAUGCUGCUGGUAUAUGUUGACCAAUGAAAGGCAGUAACGAAACUACAUUACCAAUUACUAAAAGUUUAUACAUACAUAAAAUAAAAGUUUUAACAUCUUCAUUGUAAUUCCUAUGUUUGGCAAUACCAUCUACUUAAAUUCUGGUAUGUGUUUGAAAAUAAAAGUUUUAUUUUCUUUUAAAUAUUCUA